rnacentral:RNase_P_RNA from 2 species
CCAGCUCGAAGGCCACGAAUGCUCAUUCCGUACAGGUUGCUCCAUGCAUACCACAUUUAUGAGCGGGCUAAGGUCUGAGUAUUUUAAUCCCCCUCGAUCGGCUCUAGCAGGGCCUAGCUGUAAUCAGCUGCGCGACGUACCAGAAAAGCAGCUUCAUUUUCAUAUCCCUAAGAUUCUGUUCCAGCAGAGGAGGGCGAGAUUGAAAGCUUUGAAAGUGUUGCGGGGAUCGGGCACACCUAUAUCCAUCGUUUAGCAUUCAGUCGUCGCUAUCGCGCUUGCGCCUUGCGAAGAAGACGCCGCGGGACAUACUUGGGCAUCCCGCAGUCUGGCCAUGCUAUACUGCCAUCUAGUUCACCUAGAUGCUGUUCUGCCACCAUGGGGGCCGCCCUGGUGCUUCGAACUGCAGUCGUCGAGGUAUGGCACCAAGGUGACGGUCACACCAUACUGGUGCUGACCCCUCUGAAAGAGUGUUGCACUAGCACCAAGCUUCAUGACAAAUUGCUACUUACGGCCGGAGACAACUUCUUGCGUACGAGGUUCUCCCUGCGCAUGAGGUUCUCCUUGCGUAUGAGGUGGUGGCUGAUUGUAUGUGAUGUGGUAUACUUGUCUGUUCUUGAGUUCACUUCGUGGCUCGCGCAUCCUUCGUGGAUCGUGAAACUCGAUUCAGACUACUCUCGGACUGG